GGAAUAUUGGACAAUGGGGGGAACCCUGAUCCAGCCAUGCCGCGUGUGUGAAGAAGGCCUUAUGGUUGUAAAGCACUUUAAGCGAGGAGGAGGCUCUUUUGGUUAAUACCCAAGAUGAGUGGACGUUACUCGCAGAAUAAGCACCGGCUAACUCUGUGCCAGCAGCCGCGGUAAUACAGAGGGUGCGAGCGUUAAUCGGAUUUACUGGGCGUAAAGCGUGCGUAGGUGGCUUUUAAGUCGGAUGUGAAAUCCCCGAGCUUAACUUGGGAAUUGCAUUCGAUACUGGGAAGCUAGAGUAUGGGAGAGGAUGGUAGAAUUCCAGGUGUAGCGGUGAAAUGCGUAGAGAUCUGGAGGAAUACCGAUGGCGAAGGCAGCCAUCUGGCCUAAUACUGACGCUGAGGUACGAAAGCAUGGGGAGCAAACAGGAUUAGAUACC
rnacentral:rRNA from 1 species